CAUCAGUCGUUCCAUCAUCACAGCUAGGAUUCUUCUUCAUAAAAACAUAAAAACAACAACAGACCCCAAUUCCAAAAAAAAUCAAUUACUCCCCAAGAGACCUAAUCCUAGAAGAAAUAGAGGACUUACCUUCUUCUUCCACACAGAAAAAGGCUUCAGUCGAUCACCCCAAUUCAAGAGAGAAGUUAGUGGCGGACUUUCACUUUCUUCAGCAGACUUAUGCCGUUUCUCCACAUCCAAAAAUCCAUAAUGAUCAAGCCAAAAUCUAGUUGAAAUAACCCCCAAAAGCAGCUCACUUUCAGCUGAAAACUCCAUGAAAACCAGAUAGAAGACAUCUUCAUUUUUUUCGCCAAAAACGACCUCAAGAAUGUGUAAAAAAACUAGCUGAAAAUUCCACCCCGAAACAUCCCUAAAUUUCAUCGAAAUCAGCCCCAAAAAAUAUUGAAAACGGUCUACAAAACACCAUGAAUCUGUAGCAACAGUACCAUAUUUGUGGUCCAAGGUCGAUUGGCGAGUUUUUCCGGUUCGAGGUUCCUGUCUGUAGCACGUUUGAGGACCGCUAUUUUGAAUACUCUUUUACGCUAUACCUGUUGGAAUAUUUUCAGUAAUUAAGUUAAUUUAAUACAAGAAAGCUUAAAUUUUGGUGGGUUUUGUCAAGGAUUACGAGAAAAUUGAAAAGGUUUGAAGUUAUGGCGUAAUCAGAAUUGAGGACGGACAUUUUUCUUUGUAAGGUACAUGACCUUGUAACCCCUUUGGUUGUGAAGUGAAUUUGAGGAAUGACAUGUUGUGAAGAAAUGAAGAUCUUUUGAUUGUUUUUUUUUUGUUGUGAAGUAAAUGAGGAAUGACAUGAGUAUUUUCAUGUUUGGAAGGAUUUGUAAGACAAGUACUUGUUUCUCUUACUGGUCUGUUUGCAGUUAGUUUACAAAAAUGAUCCAUAUUUAGUAUGACCAUAUUCAUUCAUAUGGUCAAGCUCUGUUGUUUUUUUCAAUCUUUAAUUUACCAUUUUAGUUCUUAAGGGUCAAAGUGUGUUUGAAUGAAAAGGACAAGUGCUUGUUCCUAAAAGUGAGGUUCAUGAUCGUUAUUCUGCUGGUGCAAAUUUAUUGAUACUUAAUGUAAUUCAGAUGCAUGUAUUUGUA